rnacentral:rRNA from 1 species
GGGUAGUAUUAGAUGUUCUAGAAACCUAAAAUUUUUGGCGGUCUUUUAGGCUAGUUAGAGGAACCUGUUCUGUAAUAGAUAUUCCACUUUGGGUUUAACUUUCUUUAUGGUAUAUAUACCGCCGUCGUAAAGUAAUUUUUGUAGAAAUUAUUAUUAAGUUAGAUUAAGGAGAUGACAGGUCAAGGUGUAGCUUAUGAGGGAGGUUGAGAUGGGUUACAAUACUGGAUUGGUAAAAGAUGAAUGUGGGUUGAAGAAAUUUCUCCGUUGAAAGUGGAUUUAAAAGUAAGGUUGAGAUUAAAAUGCGGAUUUGAUUUAGGCUCUGAGGGAUGU